AGAGUUUGAUCCUGGCUCAGAACGAACGCUGGCGGCAUGCCUAACACAUGCAAGUCGAACGGGAUCCAGACUUCGGUCCGGUGAGAGUGGCGGACGGGUGAGUAACACGUGGGAACCUGCCUUUUGGUUCGGGAUAACCGCGGGAAACUGCGGCUAAUACCGGAUGCUCCCGAGAGGGAAAAGAUUUAUCGCCAGAAGAGGGGCCCGCGUCCGAUUAGGUAGUUGGUGGGGUAAUGGCCUACCAAGCCGACGAUCGGUAGCUGGUCUGAGAGGAUGAUCAGCCACACUGGGACUGAGAUACGGCCCAGACUCCUACGGGAGGCAGCAGUGGGAAUAUUGGACAAUGGGGGCAACCCUGAUCCAGCAAUGCCGCGUGAGUGAUGAAGGCCUUAGGGUUGUAAAGCUCUUUUGCCAGGGAAGAUGAUGACUGUACCUGGAGAAUAAGCCCCGGCUAACUUCGUG
rnacentral:rRNA from 1 species